rnacentral:rRNA from 1 species
GGUGGAUGCCUUGGCGACAAGAGGCGAUGAAAGACGUGAUACGCUGCGAUAAGCCAUGGGGAGCUGCGAAUAAGCUUUGAUCCGUGGAUUUCUGAAUGGGGCAACCCACUCCGUAUGGAGUACCCUUUAAUGGGAGCAAACCCGGGGAACUGAAACAUCUAAGUACCCGGAGGAAAGGACAUCAACCGAGACUCCGCUAGUAGUGGCGAGCGAACGCGGACCAGGCCAGUGCCUCAAUUGAAUUAACCGGAACCGUCUGGAAAGUCGGGCCUUAGUGGGUGAUAGCCCCGUACGGGUGUUGUGAGAUUGAGGACUUGAGUAGGGCGGGACACGUGAAAUCCUGUCUGAACAUGGGGGGACCACCCUCCAAGCCUAAGUACUCCUUGUCGACCGAUAGCGAACAAGUACCGUGAGGGAAAGGUGAAAAGCACCCCGACGAGGGGAGUGAAACAGACCCUGAAACCGGAUGCCUACAAACAGUUGGAGGGCUUCGUGCCUGACAGCGUACCUUUUGUAUAAUGGGUCAGCGACUUAAUUUAACGAGCAAGCUUAAGCCGAUAGGUGUAGGCGCAGCGAAAGCGAGUCUGAAUAGGGCGCAUGAGUUAGAUGGAUCAGACCCGAAACCGAGUGAUCUAGGCAUGGCCAGGUUGAAGGUUGGGUAACACCAACUGGAGGACCGAACCCACAUCCGUUGAAAAGGAUCGGGAUGAGCUGUGCCUAGGGGUGAAAGGCCAAUCAAACUCGGAGAUAGCUGGUUCUCUGCGAAAUCUAUUUAGGUAGAGCGUCAUCCGAAUACCCCCGGGGGUAGAGCACUGGAUGGGUAAUGGGGCCCCACAGGCUUACUGAUCCUAACCAAACUCCGAAUACCGAGAAGUUCAGUCUGGCAGACAGACCGUGGGUGCUAAGGUCCAUGGUCGAGAGGGAAACAGCCCAGACCGCCAGCUAAGGUCCCCAAGUCA